rnacentral:rRNA from 1 species
AGAGUUUGAUCAUGGCUCAGAGCGAACGUUAGCGGCGGGCCUAACACAUGCAAGUCGCGCGAGAAAGGCCUUCGGGCCGAGUAAAGCGGCGCACGGGUGCGUAACACGUAGGUAAUCUGCCCUCGAGCGGGGGAUAACUUUCCGAAAGGGAAGCUAAUACCGCAUGAGACCACGCUUGCUACGGCAGGUGAGGGAAAAGACGGCCAAUCCAUGGAAGCUGUCACUCGAGGAUGAGCCUGCGGCCCAUCAGCUAGUUGGUGAGGUAAUGGCUCACCAAGGCUAAGACGGGUAGCUGGUCUGAGAGGAUGAUCAGCCACACUGGCACUGAAACACGGGCCAGACUCCUACGGGAGGCAGCAGUGGGGAAUAUUGGACAAGGGGCGCAAGCCUGAUCCAGCCACGCCGCGUGAGUGAUGAAGGCCUUCGGGUUGUAAAGCUCUGUGGGGAGGGACGAAAACGGUUGGGAACAAUACCCCAGCCCUUGACGGUACCUCUUUAGCAAGCACCGGCUAACUCUGUGCCAGCCGCCGCGGUAAUAC